rnacentral:rRNA from 1 species
AUCAUGAGUUCACAUGUCCGCAUGAUUAAAGGUAUUUUCCGGUAGACGAUGGGGAUGCGUUCCAUUAGAUAGUAGGCGGGGUAACGGCCCACCUAGUCAACGAUGGAUAGGGGUUCUGAGAGGAAGGUCCCCCACAUUGGAACUGAGACACGGUCCAAACUCCUACGGGAGGCAGCAGUGAGGAAUAUUGGUCGAUGGGCGAUGGCCUGAACCAGCCAAGUAGCGUGAAGGAUGACUGCCCUAUGGGUUGUAAACUUCUUUUAUAAAGGAAUAAAGUCGGGUAUGCAUACCCGUUUGCAUGUACUUUAUGAAUAAGGAUCGGCUAACUCCGUGCCAGCAGCCGCGGUAAUACGGAGGAUCCGAGCGUUAUCCGGAUUUAUUGGGUUUAAAGGGAGCGUAGAUGGAUGUUUAAGUCAGUUGUGAAAGUUUGCGGCUCAACCGUAAAAUUGCAGUUGAUACUGGAUGUCUUGAGUGCAGUUGAGGCAGGCGGAAUUCGUGGUGUAGCGGUGAAAUGCUUAGAUAUCACGAAGAACUCCGAUUG